UGGGGAAUUUUGCGCAAUGGGCGAAAGCCUGACGCAGCAAUACCGCGUGAGUGAUGAAGGCUCUUGGGUCGUAAAGCUCUGUCAGAGGGGAAGAACCUCCCAUCAUAUAAUACAUGGUGGGCCUGACGGUACCCUCAAAGGAAGCACCGGCUAACUCCGUGCCAGCAGCCGCGGUAAUACGAAGGCCCCAAGCGUUAUCCGGAAUUAUUGGGCGUAAAGCGUCCGCGGGCGGUUUGACAAGUAUGUCGUUAAAUCUUAGGGCUCAACCCUGAGACCGCGAUGUAAACUGUCAGACUAGAGGGUGGGAGAGGCAUCUGGAAUUGUCGGUGUAGUAGUAAAAUGCGUUAAUAUCGACAGGAACACCAAAAGCGAAGGCUUGAUGCUAGAACACUCCUGACGCUCAGGGACGAAAGCGUGGGUAGCGAAUCGGAUUAGAUACCCGAGUAGUCCACGCCGUAAACGAUGUGCACUAGGCAUUGGUAGUAUCGACCCUAUCAGUGUCGCUGAACCAAGCUAACGCGUUAAGUGCACCGCCUAUGGAGUACGGCCGCAAGGCUA
rnacentral:rRNA from 1 species